rnacentral:rRNA from 1 species
CCUACGGGUGGCAGCAGUGAGGAAUAUUGGUCAAUGGGCGGGAGACUGAACCAGCCAAGUAGCGUGAAGGAUGACUGCACUGCGGGUUGUAAACUUCUUUUAUAAAGGAAUAAAGUGAGGCACGUGUGCCUUUUUGUAUGUACUUUAUGAAUAAGGAUCGGCUAACUCCGUGCCAGCAGCCGCGGUAAUACGGAGGAUCCGAGCGUUAUCCGGAUUUAUUGGGUUUAAAGGGAGCGUAGAUGGGUUGGUAAGUCAGUUGUGAAAGUUUGCGGCUCAACCGUAAAAUUGCCAUUGAUACUGGCAGUCUUGAGUACAGUUGAGGUAGGCGGAAUUCGUGGUGUAGCGGUGAAAUGCUUAGAUAUCACGCAGAACUCCGAUUGCGAAGGCAGCUUACUAAACUGCCACUGACAUUGAUGCUCGAAAGUGUGGGUAUCAAACAGGAUUAGAUACCCCUGUAGUC